rnacentral:lncRNA from 1 species
UAGCUGGCUCCCUCUUGUAAUACACCUUCCAAUCUCUGAAGUUUGUUUCUGAUAUCCGGAGCCGACUGCCUUAUGAAGGCCAGGGCCACUGAGGCCUUCUGAGAUUCUGAGUUGUGAAGAGCAUCUGCAGCAGCUGCUGACAAUCAUCCCAAAUAGGCUGAUGAGUCCAUCAGGAAUCUGCUCUGCGGCUCCAUGUAACCUCAGCGGUCUGCCUCCCGCUGACCGGACAGUCCUAGGGGGAGAAUUCUGAAGAGAGCACAGAAGAGCACAGGAGGAUGGAUUAAUGAGGCAUGCUAUAAAUGGAGAGGAGGCCAGAAAAAAAUGUGUGUUUCCCACUCUUCUUCAGAGUCAUAUAAGACCAGAAAAUGGCUACCAGCAUGGACAAGAUUGUCUCUGAGGAUGAAGGCCACUACUCAGGGGUCGAAGGAGCGUAAUAAUGAGUAAGAAAAAGGCCAUUCCCUAAUCUCUUUUUUCCCAUGAUUGAAAUACAGGGAUUGAAACAGGACCCUACAGGAGGACAACUCUUCACUUCACUUGUGAGGAAGAAAACACAAAAGCAAAGUGUAUUUUCACCCAGGUAGUGUCCUGCCUGCACAUCUGCCUUGGGCUUUUAUUCUUUUCAGAUUGCUGGGAGCAAACAGAUGGCUGCAGAAGCCUGAAUUUUAAAUUUAUUAAUGGAAAUUUGAACAGAUGUUAGAAAUCAAGAUGGCUUGUAAAUGCCACAUUUAUAGCCUUGCCUCCUUCAUAUCCAUGAGAGAUGUGUGUCAUAAAAGGGUAGCUUUUGAUCUUGGAGACAGCCUGGAUCCAACAUGGUGCUUCUGUGGCAAAAUAGCGGAAAUAUUGGAAGAACAAAGGAAGAAAACACUAAUCAUCUGCCUGUAUAAAUGGUAAAUGUUUGUUUGCUGAAUGCUCAAAUGUAUCUGUAAAGAAACCAUCAACCAUCUGAGCAAUUUUAAGUAGGUGAAAUUGAAGCCUGG